UACAUGGGGUGCAAACGUUGCUCGGAAUUAUUGGGCGUAAAGCGCACGUAGGCGGUUCGUUAAGUCGGAUGUGAAAGCCCUCGGCUCAACUGAGGAAGUGCACCCGAAACUGGCGAGCUUGAGUACGAAAGAGGAGUCGCGGAAUUCCCGGUGUAGAGGUGAAAUUCGUAGAUAUCGGGAGGAACGACCGGUGGCGAAGGCGGUUCUCUGGGCCGAUACUGGACGCUGAGGAGCGAAAGCGUGGGGAGCGAACAGG
rnacentral:rRNA from 1 species